UACGUAGGCAGCAAGCGUUGUUCGGAGUUACUGGGCGUAAAGAGUGCGUAGGCGGUCUUUUAAGUUUGGUGUGAAAUCUCCCGGCUCAACUGGGAGGUGCGCCGAAAACUGGGAGGCUUGAGGAUGGGAGAGGCAUGCGGAAUUCCUGGUGUAGCGGUGAAAUGCGUAGAAUAUCAGGAGGAACACUGCGGUGUGAGACAGCAUGCGGACCAUUCUGACGCUGAGGCACUGAAAGCGUGGUAGCAACA
rnacentral:rRNA from 1 species